rnacentral:rRNA from 1 species
CCUACGGGUGGCAGCAGUGAGGAAUAUUGGUCAAUGGGCGCGAGCCUGAACCAGCCAAGUCGCGUGAAGGAAGACGGCCCUAUGGAUUGUAAACCUCUUUUGUGCGGGGGCAAAAGACGCCACGCGUGGCGUUCCGAGAGUACCCGAAGAAAAAGCAUCGGCUAACUCCGUGCCAGCAGCCGCGGUAAUACGGAGGAUCCGGGCGUUAUCCGGAUUUAUUGGGUUUAAAGGGUGCGCAGGCGGAAGGUCAAGUGUGCGGUAAAAUUGCGUGGCUCAACCUGAUCGAGCCGUUGAAACUGGUUUUCUUGAGUGAGCGAGAAGUAUGCGGAAUGCGUGGUGUAGCGGUGAAAUGCAUAGAUAUCACGAAGAACUCCGAUUGCGAAGGCAGCAUACCGGCGCGCAACUGACGCUGAUGCACGAAAGUGUGGGUAUCGAACAGGAUUAGAUACCCGGGUAGUC